ACCCUCCAGUUCCCUUUCCCAUCGGAUCUGAACACUGGUCUGGGUGGUCGUAAAAGGAGGAAAAGUAACAUUGAAACUGGCCUGAGUGCAUGUAGCACGUGGGCUAGUUUCAAACAAGA
ensembl:snoRNA small nucleolar RNA SNORA61